rnacentral:lncRNA from 1 species
GCAGGGCCACCAACAUCCACUGUGGCUUUACCUCUCAGGGUCACAGAAUGGUUGGGUUAGAAGGGACCCCAAAGGCUCCAACCCCCCCCAAAACAGGCAGGGCCACCAACAUCCACUGUGGCUUUAUCUCACAGGGUCAAAGAAUGGUUGGGUUGGAAGGGACCCCAGAAGAUCACGAGGAUCCAACCUCCCCCCCAAAACAGGCAGGGCCACCACCUCCACUGUGGCUUUAAUCUCACAGGGUCACAGAAUGGUUGGGUUGGAAGGGACCCCAAAGGCUCCAACCCCCCCAAAACAGGCAGGGCCACCAACAUCCACUGUGGCUUUAAUCUCAUAGGGUCACAGAAUGGUUGGGUUGGAAGGGACCCCAAAAGAUCACGAGGCUCCAACUCCCCCCAAAACAGGCAGGGCCACCACCUCCACUGUGGCUUUAAUCUCAUAGGGUCACAGAAUGGUUGGGUUAGAAGGGACCCCAAAGGCUCCAACCCCCCCAAAACAGGCAGGGCCACCACCUCCGCUGUGGCUUUAAUCUCACAGGGUCACAAAAUGGUUGGGUUGGAAGGGACCCCAAAGGCUCCAACCCCCCCCAAAACAGGCAGGGCCACCGACAUCCACUGUGGCUUUAAUCUCUCAGGAUCAUAGAAUGGUUGGGAUGGAAGGGACCCCAAAAGACCACGUCCACAUUUAAGGCCAUCCCAUUGGAUACCCCAUCCAACGUGGCCUUCAACACCUCCAGGGACGGACGGGGCAUCCACAGCCUCUCCGGGCAGCUGUUCCCCCUCACAUCCAACCUCCAUCUGCCCUCCUUCAACUCCAAACCACGUCCCCUCAUCCUGCUGUUAUCUGCCCUUCCAAGAGUCGCCUCCCCUCCUGUUUGGGGGCUCCCCUUUAAGGUCCCGGAAGGCUGCACUGAGGUCACCCCGCAGCCUUCUGUUCCCUUCUCCAGGCUCAAUACCCCAUCUCCCUCAGCCUGUCUCUGUAUGGGAGGUGCUGCAGCCCUCCGAUCACCUCUGUGGCCCUCCUGUGAAUAGAAGGGACCCUCCGCUGUCUUUCUCCUAUUGGGGGCUCCAGAUUUGGACGCAGUGCUGCAGAUCUCCGUUGGUUUAAAAGCUCGAAGCCCCCCCAAAACUCAACAAACCAUCCCAUCCUCCGAACCGUCUCAGUGCUUCCAAAGGCUCUGAGCACCGGAAGCCAUAGAAAAUCCUUCAGCUUCUCUGCCCAGCAGUUCAGACCAUCCACCACUGUGGCCCUUCCUUCACAGUCACCUCUUCUGUGCGCCUCUUUUUGGGGCUAUUUCAUGCAUUUUCAUGGAUAUCUCACAUGUAACGCUCCAUACUACGUGCAUACGUGUGCACACACAUCCCUACAUUCAUACACUCUCCAAAUCCUCCAUUUCCACCGUUCAGACGACCUCAGAAGGGAUAAAUUGUACAAAACAGCCCAAACGUCCCCAAUUUG